ACAGAAAAGGGGAUCUUCCUCUCGACCUUUGUCCUGGUACUCGUGGUUCUUGUGUAUCAGUUUUAUUGGACUGAGUUGUCAAAGCUGAAUCAUGCACGGAUUCCACCAACCUCACAAUCUGGGGAUAAUAGUGGGGAUGUCCCCUAUACCGUACGUCAGAACAUAUCUGCUGCACGUGACAAAUGGCUCAUCCUAUCAGCGGUUGCUGAGAUGAACGACAUCAGAGUGGCAGGGUGGAGAGUAUUGUUGCUGGAAAGGUCAACAAAAUCAGAAUCUGCUUGCAGGUUACCAUGGUGUGUUACAAUGAACACAAUAAGCACAUCAGAUGAAGCUGCUGAUGAUGUAAACAAGGCUUACAUCUAUGCCAUAUCUCACGGAGCAAAUGCCGUGUGUCUCCUUCAUCACGUGAAUACCAUUGUGUUGGAAACCUUGAAGAGAAUAGCUGAUGAUCUUCCCCGGUCUGGCUUAGUUCUUAUGACAAACAAAACGUUCCUUGAACCAACCAUUACUGGAAACAAAUCAAACAGCCUUUUGAAA